rnacentral:rRNA from 1 species
GGGGCGGGGGGGCGUGCCUACCAUGGCAGUCGAACGAAGCGCCCGCGCGGAUUCCCUCGGGAUGAAGCGCGGAUGCACUGAGUGGCGGACGGGUGAGUCACGCGUGGGCAACCUGCCCCGUGCCGGGGGACAACAGCCGGAAACGGCUGCUAAUACCGCAUGAUCCGGGAGGGCCGCAUGGCCUUCCCGGGAAAGCUCCGGCGGCACGGGAUGGGCCCGCGUCUGAUUAGUUUGUUGGCGGGGUAACGGCCCACCAAGACUGCGAUCAGCAGCCGGCCUGAGAGGGCGGCCGGCCACAUUGGGACUGAGACACGGCCCAGACUCCUGCGGGAGGCAGCAGUGGGGAAUAUUGCACAAUGGGGGAAACCCUGAUGCAGCGACGCCGCGUGGGCGACGAAGCGCUCCGGCGCGUAAAGCCCUGUCAGCAGGGAAGAAAAAAGACAGUACCUGACCAAGAAGCCCCGGCUAACUACGUGCCAGCAGCCGCGGUAAUACGUAGGGGGCAAGCGUUAUCCGGAUUCACUGGGCGUAAAGGGAGCGCAGGCGGCACGGCAAGUCUGGUGUGAAAGCCCGGGGCCCAACCCCGGGACUGCAUUGGAAACUGCCGGGCUGGAGUGCCGGAGGGGUAAGCGGAAUUCCUGGUGUAGCGGUGAAAUGCGCAGAUAUCAGGAAGAACACCGGUGGCGGAGGCGGCUUACUGGACGGCAACUGACGCUGAGGCUCGAAAGCGUGGGGAGCAAACAGGAUUAG